AUUGAACGCUGGCGGUAUGCUUAACACAUGCAAGUCGAACGGUAGCAGGCCUUCGGGCGCUGACGAGUGGCGGACGGGUGAGUAAUGCAUAGGAAUCUGCCGAUUAGUGGGGGAUAACGUGGGGAAACUCACGCUAAUACCGCAUACGCCCUACGGGGGAAAGGCGGGGGACCGUUCGGGCCGUCGCGCUAAUUGAUGAGCCUAUGUUGGAUUAGCUAGUUGGUAGGGUAAAGGCCUACCAAGGCGACGAUCCAUAGCUGGUCUGAGAGGAUGAUCAGCCACACUGGGACUGAGACACGGCCCAGACUCCUACGGGAGGCAGCAGUGGGGAAUAUUGGACAAUGGGCGAAAGCCUGAUCCAGCAAUACCGCGUGUGUGAAGAAGGCCUGAGGGUUGUAAAGCACUUCAAUAGGAAGGAAUACCUAUCGGCGAAUACCCGGUAGACUGACAUUACCUAUACAAGAAGCACCGGCUAACUCCGUGCCAGCAG
rnacentral:rRNA from 1 species